GUCCGGGGAAGGAAUCCUCCGGCACCUGGGCCCUGCACCGACACCCGCGGGUGCGGCAGAGGGCUUCUCCCCGUGCUCCUCCACCCCUGGGGGGAGCGCGACCCUCUCUGGGCGGAGUGGGGGAUCCCGGGGCCGGCGCCUCCUGGCGGAGUUGGGGGAGGGGAACCACCUGGAGCCUGGAGGCCGUGCGAGGGCGAGGUGGGCGGACCAGCCCGGGAGGACUGACGUUGGAGGGUGAGAAGAGCCUUUCCUGGCCUCUCUGUCUAAAAGCACCCUGCGGAGCACAGUGGCUUACACCUGUAACCUCAGCACUCAGGGAAGCCAAGGCCGGAGGAGCAGUUGAGCUCAGGAGUCGGAGACCAGCCUGUGCAACCUGGGAGAACUUUCUACAAAAUAAAAAAAUUAGCGGAGCAUGGUGGCACACACCUGUAAUCCCAGCUACGGGGCGGGGCGGCGAGUGGGGAGCAGGCUGGACAAUGGAGUGAGAUCCUGUCUUAAAACACAAAAUAAAAGCAGCUCUCACUCAA